rnacentral:rRNA from 1 species
UACAGAGGUCUCAAGCGUUGUUCGGAUUCAUUGGGCGUAAAGGGUGCGUAGGUGGCGCGGUAAGUCGGGUGUGAAAUCUCGGAGCUUAACUCCGAAAUUGCAUUCGAUACUGCCGUGCUCGAGGACUGGAGAGGAGACUGGAAUUCAUGGUGUAGCAGUGAAAUGCGUAGAGAUCAUGAGGAAGACCAGUGGCGAAGGCGGGUCUCUGGACAGUUCCUGACGCUGAGGCACGAAGGCCAGGGGAGCAAACGGG